rnacentral:rRNA from 1 species
AACGAACGCUGGCGGCAGGCCUAACACAUGCAAGUCGAGCGAGCAUUUCGGUGCUAGCGGCGGACGGGUGAGUAACGCGUGGGAACGUGCCCUUUUCUGCGGAAUAGUCCUGGGAAACUGGGGGUAAUACCGCAUACGCCCUUUUGGGGAAAGAUUUAUCGGAGAAGGAUCGGCCCGCGUUGGAUUAGGUAGUUGGUGGGGUAAUGGCCCACCAAGCCGACGAUCCAUAGCUGGUUGGAGAGGAUGAUCAGCCACACUGGGACUGAGACACGGCCCAGACUCCUACGGGAGGCAGCAGUGGGGAAUCUUAGACGAGGGGGGCAACCCUGAUCUAGCCAUGCCGCGUGAGUGAUGAAUGCCUUAGGGUUGUAAAGCUCUUUCAGCUGGGAAGAUAAUGACGGUACCAGCAGAAGAAGCCCCGGCUAACUCCGUG